rnacentral:lncRNA from 1 species
AGGCUGACAUUUCUUGGCAACCUACGGAAGCUGUUCUGAUGAGCCUCUGUGUUAGUAAAGAAUACAUCUCUAUAAAUGGACUGCAGUACAGCUGACCUUGGACAGGCUUAUUUGGGCCUAACUGGGUUCUAAGCUUUCUGCUGGGUUCAGCUCUUUGUACUUCAGGCAACAACACCUGAGAGGAUUUUUCUGGCAGGCGAAAAAAUGUUUGCAAUGACUUUGAUGAUACGGUGACUGAGGUGUAUUUAUCCUUAGGUGCAUAAGCAAUGGCACACAACCAAAGACUGGCUGCUACCUUCACAUUCCUUCUAAAGGGGCUAAAAGGAAGAAGUAUGGAAAAAUGUAUCCACUCAAGUAGAAAUUUUAUAUUGAGUGUGCAGUUUUGAUUUUGAAUGUCUGAUUUUGUUUGUAGGCCAAAAAAGACUGUGAUUCCAAAUUUGUAAAUUAAUACAAAUAAAAAUUAAAAUUGC